GACAGAGUGGACCAGCGUUGUCCGGAGUUACUGGGCGAAAAGCGCACGCAGGCGGCGGCUUAAGUGUCGUGUGAAAGCUCCCGGCUCAACCGGGAGAGGCCAUGGCAGACUGGGUCGCUGGAGCGCCGGAGAGGUCUCUCGAAUUGCCGGUGUAGUGGUGAAAUGCGUAGAGAUCGGCAGGAAGACCAAGGGGGAAGCCAGGAGACUGGCCGGCAGCUGACGCUGAGGUGCGACGGCGUGGGGAGCAAACCGG
rnacentral:rRNA from 1 species